GAUGAACGCUGGCGGCGUGCUUAACACAUGCAAGUCGAACGGAAAGGCGCUGCUUUUGUUGGUUUCUCGAGUGGCGAACGGGUGAGUAUCACGCGUGUAUCCUGCCCUUGACUUUGGGAUAACUCUAGGAAAAUCGGGCUAUUAUCGGAUAUAAUCUCUUGCUGCACGGUGUGGGUUGGUAAGUUUCGGCGUUGGUGGCUGGACUGGCAGCUUAUCAGCUUGUUGGUCUGGUAGUGGCUUACCAAGGUUUCGACGGGUAGCCGGCCUGAGAGGGUGACCGGCGACAAGGGGACUGAGGUACGGACCAGACGGCUACGGGAGGCAGCAGUGGGGAGUAUGACGGAAUGGGGGGGAGCGAGAUGCAGAAGCGCCGGGAGCGGGAUAACGGGCUUCGGGUUAUAAACCGCUUUGGACGGUGACGAAGAGUGAGUGACGGUAAUGGGUAAAGAAGCAACGGCUAACUACGUG
rnacentral:rRNA from 1 species